rnacentral:rRNA from 1 species
CCUACGGGAGGCAGCAGUAAGGAAUAUUGGUCAAUGGAGGCAACUCUGAACCAGCCAUGCCGCGUGCAGGAAGACUGCCCUAUGGGUUGUAAACUGCUUUUAUCCGGGAAUAAACCACAUUACGAGUAGUGUGCUGAAUGUACCGGAAGAAUAAGGAUCGGCUAACUCCGUGCCAGCAGCCGCGGUAAUACGGAGGAUCCAAGCGUUAUCCGGAUUUAUUGGGUUUAAAGGGUGCGUAGGCGGCCUGUUAAGUCAGGGGUGAAAGACGGUAGCUCAACUAUCGCAGUGCCCUUGAUACUGACGGGCUUGAAUAGACUAGAGGUAGGCGGAAUGAGACAAGUAGCGGUGAAAUGCAUAGAUAUGUCUCAGAACACCGAUUGCGAAGGCAGCUUACUAUGGUCUUAUUGACGCUGAGGCACGAAAGCGUGGGGAUCAAACAGGAUUAGAUACCCUGGUAGUCCACGCCCUAAACGAUGAACACUCGCUGUUGGCGAUACACAGUCAGCGGCUAAGCGAAAGCGUUAAGUGUUCCACCUGGGGAGUACGGUCGCGAAGAUUGAAACUCAAAUGAAUUGACGG